rnacentral:rRNA from 1 species
AAUGAACGUUGGCGGCGUGGAUUAGGCAUGCAAGUCGUACGAGAAUCGUAGCAAUACGGGGAAAGUGGCGGAAGGGAGAGGAUUACGUGGGAAUCUACCCUCAGAACUGGGAUAGCGGCGGGAAACUGCCGGUAAUACCAGAUAAUGUCUGUGGACCAAAGGUGUGAUUCCGUCUGGGGAUGAGCCCACGUCCUAUUAGCUAGUUGGCAGGGUAAUGGCCUACCAAGGCAAUGAUGGGUAGCGGGUGUGAGAGCAUGACCCGCCUCACUGGGACUGAGACAUGCCCAGACACCUACGGGUGGCUGCAGUCGAGAAUCUUCGGCAAUGAGCGCAAGCUUGACCGAGCGACGCCGCGUGCGGGAUGAAGGCCUUCGGGUUGUAAACCGCUGUCGUAGGGGAGCAAGAGAUGAGGGUACUCCCUCUGAUUUGAGCGAUCCUAGGAGGAAGGACGGGCUAAGUUCGUGCCAGCCGCCGCCGUAAUAC